CAGGGUGUAGCUCAGUUAGGAAGAGUCCCCGGUUCCUUUAAAUAGGCUGGGGCGGCGCGGGUUCAAAUCCCGCUGCCCUGACCA
rnacentral:tRNA from 1 species